GUUAAUGURGCUUAUUGUAAAGCAAAGCACUGAAAAUGCUUAGAUGGAUAGGCUUAUCCCAUAAA
rnacentral:tRNA from 1 species